GGAAUUUUCGGCAAUGGGCGCAAGCCUGACCGAGCAACGCCGCGUGAGUGAUGAAGGUUUUCGGAUCGUAAAGCUCUGUUGUAAGGGAAGAAUGGCACAGAUAGAAUCUGUGAAUGACGGUACCUUACCAGAAAGCCACGGCUAACUACGUGCCAGCAGCCGCGGUAAUACGUAGGUGGCGAGCGUUAUCCGGAAUUAUUGGGCGUAAAGGGUGCGUAGGCGGCCUGUUAAGUUUAAGGUGAAAGCGUGGGGCUCAACCCCAUAUAGCCUUAGAUACUGGCGGGCUAGAGUACUGGAGAGGAAAGUGGAAUUCCAUGUGUAGCGGUAAAAUGCGUAGAGAUAUGGAGGAACACCGGUGGCGAAGGCGGCUUUCUAGACAGUAACUGACGCUGAGGCACGAAAGCGUGGGGAGCAAAUA
rnacentral:rRNA from 1 species